GCGCCCGUAGCUCAGCUGGAUAGAGUACCUGGCUACGAACCAGGCGGUCGGACGUUCGAAUCGUUCCGGGCGCGCCA
rnacentral:tRNA from 1 species